rnacentral:tRNA from 1 species
GACGCGCUGGCUUCAGGUGCCAGUUCUCGUAAGGGAGUGAAGGUUCGAGUCCUUUCCUGGGCACCA